CAAUAGCGUAUAUUAAAGCUGUUGCGGUUAAAAAGCUCGUAGUUGGAUUUCUGUCAAGGACAACUGGUCCGCCCUCCGGGUGAGCACAUAGUUUGGUCUUGGCAUCUUGCUGGAAGCUGUUGCUGCACUUGGCUGUGUGGCGCAGCGUCCAGCACUUUCACUUUGAGGACAUUGGAGUGUUUCAAGCAGGCACAUGCCUUUGGACACAGUAGCAUGGAAUAAUUAGAUUGGGCUUUUGCUCCAAUUUGUCGGUUUCUGGAGCUGAGGUGAGAAUUAAUGGGGAUUGUUGGGGGCAUCCGAAUUUAGCCGUCAGAGGUGAAAUUCUUGGAUCUGCUAAAGACGGACAACUGCGAAAGCGUUUGCCCAGGAUGUUUUCAUUGA
rnacentral:rRNA from 1 species